ensembl:ncRNA lncRNA:CR42491 long non-coding RNA:CR42491
GGGGCUCUGGGCACUGCACAACGGGGUAGCCACUGACCGCCAGUGACCUGGCACUGGCCAGUGGUGCAACCGUCUGUGAACAGCGUCAAGCCGUGCUAUGUGUACCGCCACGUGGUGGGCCCUGGGUUGAGUGCGACCACAUCCGUGGCGCCUCAGGCCAAAAUUCAUAGUGCGCCCUGCUCACAGUGCCCGCUCUUCCGUGGCACUGCAGGUUUUCCCAACUUGUAGAAGUUAGAAUUAGGUGCUUCUUCCAUAUGCCAAGUGAUAAGCCAACUGACUAAGUACCCGCUAGUGGGCAAACCGAGUGCGCUAAACGCGCUUCUCAGCAGGGCGCUGAAUAGUUCAAGUGUCGCCUACGUCACGGGAUCAGGAGAAGUACAUCAAGGCCCGCCUUAAGGUCAACGGCAAGGUGAACAACCUGGGCAACAACGUCACCUUCGAGCGCUCCAAGCUGAAGCUCAUUGUCAGCUCCGACGUUCACUUUUCCAAGGCAUACCUCAAGUACUUGACCAAGAAGUACCUGAAGAAGAACAGUCUGCGCGACUGGAUCCGUGUGGUGGCCAACGAAAAGGACUCGUACGAGCUGCGCUACUUCAGAAUCAGCUCCAACGACGAUGAGGACGACGAUGCCGAGUAAAGAUGUAGCUGAUCCCUUCAGUGGAAUCACUAGGUUUACAUUGGUUUUUAUUAUACAUUUCACGCCCUCAAGCGGCGUGUUUUUAUAAGCUAACAGAAAGAUGUGAACUC